rnacentral:rRNA from 1 species
UACGUAGGUGACCAGCGUUGUCCGGAUUUACUGGGCGUAAAGAGCGCGCAGGCGGUCGUUCAAGUCGAGUGUGAAAGCCCCCGGCUCAACUGGGGAGGGUCAUUCGAUACUGAUCGACUCGAAGGCAGGAGAGGGAAGCGGAAUUCCCGGUGUAGUGGUGAAAUGCGCAGAUAUCAGGAGGAACACCGGUGGCGAAGGCGGAUCUCUGGGCCUUGCCUGACGCUGAGGCGCGAAAGCUAGGGGAGCGAACAGG